GAGCUGCAGCACGAAAGUGACGGCUC
rnacentral:ribozyme from 1 species